GAUGAACGCUGGCGGCGUGCCUAAUACAUGCAAGUCGAGCGGACGGACGAGGAGCUUGCUUCUCUGAUGUUAGCGGCGGACGGGUGAGUAACACGUGGAUAACCUACCUAUAAGACUGGGAUAACUUCGGGAAACCGUAGCUAAUACCGGCUAAUAUUUUGAACCGCAUGGUUCAAAAGUGAAAGACGGUCUUGCUGUCACUUAUAGAUUGAUCCGCGCUGCAUUAGAUAGUUGGUAAGGUAACGGCUUACCAAGGCAACGAUGUGUAGCUGAUCUGAGAGGGCGAUCAGCCACACUGGAACUGAGACACGGCCCAGACUCCUACGGGAGGCAGCAGUAGGGAAUCUUCCGCAAUGGGCGAAAGCCUGAUGCAGCAACGCCGCGUGAGGGAUGAAGGUCUUCGGAUCGUAAAACUCUGUUAUUCGGGAAGAACAGAUGUGUAAGUAACUGUGCAGAUCUUGACGGUACCGAAUCAGAAAGCCACGGCUAACUACGUG
rnacentral:rRNA from 1 species